rnacentral:rRNA from 1 species
UACAGAGGGGGCAAGCGUUGUUCGGAAUUACUGGGCGUAAAGGGCGCGUAGGCGGCCGCCUAAGUCAGACGUGAAAUCCCUCGGCUCAACCGGGGAACUGCGUCUGAUACUGGGUGGCUUGAAUUCGGGAGAGGGAUGCGGAAUUCCAGGUGUAGCGGUGAAAUGCGUAGAUAUCUGGAGGAACACCGGUGGCGAAGGCGGCAUCCUGGACCAAUACUGACGCUGAGGAGCGAAAGCCAGGGGAGCAAACGGG